CAGGCCGCCGCCAUAGCCGCUCCCGGGCAAUAAGAAACCGGUCCUCGUGCUAAUUUUUCAUCAGCUUUUUCUAACCUUUCAAAAAGUUUGUGUCACUAAAUAUCUUUUCGUCGACAUUAUAAUCGGUCGGAUUUGUUCCUUCUUUUCUUAAUUUCCCGCCCCCCCCUCCCACUUCCAAAUUUUCCUUUAAAGAUUGUAUAAAAAAAAAUUUAUUUGAUAAUCCGCCGCACAAGAAGCAUUACUACGGAUUUUAGAGUUCUAACGUGCAGAGUCAACCUCCGUUCGAUAAAGUUGGCGAAAAAGGGCACAAAUCAGAACACCGAUCUGGGAUCUAUAAGAAUUAUUCUCUACUAAAUUGAAAGUGAAUAAUUAACUCGGUGAAUAUAGGUGAGGGUGGUGGAGAAAAAAAAGGACGAAUUCUUAAUUAAGAAGAGAGGAAGAUUCUAUAAUUAGAAAAUUGUGGAGAAAUUAAUUAUGGUGUUCUGAGUUUCUAAGAAUUAAUGGAAAAUUAAGAAAUUUUUUUCCUAUAGAAAAUAAGUUGGUGCAUUAAAUUGAACAAAAAUCGAAGUGUUUUGGUGUUUUUUUUUUUUUUUGUUACGGAGGCAAGAAAAGAAAUCACAGAAUUAACGGGUAAUAGAUUAGGUGUAUCAUUUUCUUUUGAUAAAUCUAGAUAAGAACUACUAAAGUUAUAGUCGCACAAGGAUAAUAAUAGUAAAUAGAUAAAUAUCAAUAUUUUUGAACUACAGUAAACUUUGAAAUGAUGAAGACAAUGGUUAAGAGGCUUCUCAAAAAUCCACUUUUAUCCCCAGAGAGAUUAUCUACUGCUUGUCCUUGAAAGUAUUAUAGCACCUAGCACUUGUAAGGGGUCAACGAUUCAGGAGGUUCGAGAGAGAAAUAUAUAGGGAUGAGGAAAAUCCAGUAACGGAGAGAUGCUCUUUGAGAAAAAGGAGGACAAUGCACUGCAGUUUGAAGUCAAUAGUGUGAAAAAAAAAGAAAAUCGAAAGAAAUUCACAACAAUUUUAUCUUUAAUUAAAAGUGACAGUAAAUAUUUAUUUCUAAUUAUAGAAAACAUUUUCUAGCCUCAUUUCUUUUUUCUAAAUCAUCUAAUAGGAUAUUUUUUUCCCUCAAAAAGUGUGCAAAAAAAAAAAAAAGAAACUAGGUGAUGAUAAAAAAGUGGUGAUACAGUGAAAUGUGAAAAAUAAUAGGAGAGUUUGCGAAAUUUUCGUGUUAUCUCGUAAGGCAUUUUUCAAUGAACUGCUGUUUCAACCAAUGAUGACGAUUAUGAUGGUGUAUUAUCUACUGUUUUUACGUAACGGAUUUCGGUUAUUUUCAAGUUGACAGUGAUCAGUUGAAGAGAGGAGGAAUCAAUAUAUUGAGAAGAGAGAUCCUGGGUGAAAAUUGGUGGCAGGGUCGUUUCAUUGCAUGAAAAGCGAACGAUUUGAGUAGAGAGACACUUGUUGCUCCUGCGGAGUCACAAGGAGAGAGAGAGAGCACAAGGAAGAGUCUACCGAGAGUAUAGUCGCCGACUGGAAUAAAAAGCAUGAGUCAAGAAACCCCUCAAUGUUCCUUCCAUCCAAACUUUACGUGGAUGGUUUUCUAAUUCUGAGCUCUUAGAAAAAGAAGCACUAAAUAAACAAACUAAGCUUCGAUGCUUAAAGAAAAUAAGUGCAAUGUCAUCGAAAAGAAUUUUAUUCAUCAAAAUGGAAUUCUAAAUCCUGGCUACUGAAAAUUUAUCAUUGUGGAGGGGAGAAUUGAAUAUAACAAGAUUGGAGUGGAACAACAUUAUUGUGUACGGCUGUCAUGAGAGUUGGAAAUUUAAAAGUGA